CCCACUAGUUUUUAUGAUUUAACAUUAAAAAAUCUCGCCAACACAAAAAACUAUAUAAAAUGAAAAUCCACUUGCCAAGCUCAGCGACUUUUUUUGCUGUUUGAAUAAUUGGCUCACCGAGAACGCCUUUGAAAAGUUUUUGCAUCCAAGUGGCCGGCCGGAUGACGUUGGCAGUGAUGAUGCUUGGGUUGGGUGUGAAGAGUCUUAGCCGCCGUGGUUAAUUGAAUUAUAAUCAAACCUAAACCCUAAGUCUAGAAAUCGUUUAGAUUAAGAGCAGAGAAGAACAAAGAAGACAAUGACCCAAUCAAGAAUCUUCUUUGAUUCUGGCUAGAUCAAAGUGUGUUUAAAUAUGAAUUGGGCUUGACACUAGAAUACACCCGUUCGGUUUGAUCCGCUUCAGGUGUUCAUGUUCUGAAUCGAACUUUUUCCUCUUCAAUUCUUCACUUGUUCUGCAAGAGAAACGCCUGCAAACAAAGCAGAGUAAUAGACACAUAAAGCCAGAAAGCAGAGUAAUAGCACAAGACUUUUUAAUAAGGUUUGACUAAUCCUACUCUUCAUCCCAAAGGAUUCAUUAUAUUAUUUCUGUAUUUUUUAUUACUACUGAAAGCAGAAUAAGAUCCUGACUUCUACCCAAGUCUCUUGUUGCAAGAUUGAACACUAUCAAUCUACUAGCCGCAACCCGUUAUCACUAUUGCUCAGUCUAAAUCUCAGUUCUUUUGUGAAUGCUAUAUCUCUCGGACUAUAGAUUACAAAAGCUUGAGUUCUAACUUGCAGAAGGAGUCCAAUUUAUAAAUUUCUUCUAGUUGCUGUUUGAGAUGAUACUUUUCAUGAUUAACGGAAACUGGAAAGUGUCCGUUGCCUGAUUGAUUGUGAAGAUCUCGAGUUUGACGGAAAGUGUCUGUUGCUUGAUAAAUCUCGCAGAGGCUUGAUUCUGAUUUCUAGAAAUCUUGUCAGAAAGGGAAACACUAGCUGUUUCGUGAGGAAAAACUUGUUUCUUUAGGCUGUUUAAGAUUUCCUGAAAAAACACAGAUCAAGAGCAAAAUCCUUUCGAAAAGAUCGAGUGAAAAGCUGUGCGAUAAACUCAUGUAUAAUUCCUGACUCAACAGUCUCCCCCUUAAACUGAUAAUGACCCACAACUUGGAUUCUAAUGAUGGAAGAUAAAAACAAAUAAAGGGAGUCUUUUAUUUAUUGAAGGCAGUAGCGGAAAUAAAAACAAAAGAAGUAACUUCUACUUUGACACAACAGGGAAAGACGCUGAAAAAAAGAAGCAACUCCUGCUUUGACAAAGAAAAACCUGGAACAAUACAGAAGAAAAGACACCAGCAAAGGGAGUUGUUAAACUCUCCCACAAUAAGUAAACUGAUAAGGUACGAGAUAUGCAAACUGACAACUGAAUUAGUUGUAGAGAUUUUAUUGAAAUAGAUCUGAUCAUGAGGUCUUGAGAUCAGCCAUGAUCUCAACAGCAAAC
rnacentral:lncRNA from 1 species